UCCCGGCGUCGCUUGCGCGGGGGCCGAGGACUGGGGGCUUCGGCCCGCCCGGCGACGGGGAACGAGCGCGCCGCCUGCGGCCUCCCGCUUUCCGUAGUCGCCCGCUUCUCUGCGUGUCUUUGCACUCUUUCUAUGGACGAAUAUAGCGUAAAGAUGCGCAUCUGGAGGAGUUUAAUUCUCAGAACCUCGCUGUGGACAUCGGGAUUCGGGAUUUCUAGAGGCUUUGAAAUAAAUUGAUUUUUGCUUAGCACUCUUUCCCCGAGUAAAUCCGCUGUGCUGUGCAGCAUGUGGGAUCUUAGUUCCCCAACCAGGGAUCGAACCUGUGCCCCCUGCAUUAACCACUGGACCACGAGGGAAGUCCAUUCAGUCAAAUGUUUUUGAGCGAAAUAUAUAUAAAACAGCAGAUGCAUAUAUGUAUUCCAUUUUAAAAUGUUAACAAAAAAACAAAAUCCAAAAAACCCUGAGGUAAGGCGGCAUAAAAAAACUGCAAAUGUUUAUUGGGACGGAAAGACAAAACUUCAUAGUAAUUAUUGUCAGAAUUGUAAAGUAAAUAAACAUACACUUCAGUUUUGUAAUAGGAGUGAUUAGUCAUUAAGGUCUUAACAGUUCAAUAAUGCAUUUAAUCUAACAAACUUUAGAAAGACAAUAUCAUAAAAUUGUCUUAAAACACUGCAUGUUAGGUCAUCAUUAACAUUAAAGAUAAAGAUGGCAAAACUAUACUCCUAUCACAUCAUCAUACUAGUCUCUGCAUGUUAACCUAUCAAAUUUGUUUGUAAGUCAGGUCAUUUAUCAAUAUCAAAUCCUAUUUUAUUGCACAGUGUCCAAUUCAGCAAUUUUCAACUACGUUGUAAAACUAAAUAAAGGCAAAAAUCCUUAGGAAAAAUGUACUUGUCUUUUUUCUUUUCAAGAGA